ACGUCAAGUCAGCAUGGCCUUUAUAUCCUGGGCUACACACACGCUACAAUGGGAAGGGACAAUAGGUUGCGAAGCCGCGAGGCGGAGCCAAUCCAGCAAAACUUCCCUCAGUUCAGAUUGCAGGCUGCAACCGCCUGCAUGAAGUUGGAGUUGCUAGUAAACGCAGGUCAGCCAUACUGCGUUGAAUACGUUCCCGGGGCUU
rnacentral:rRNA from 1 species